ensembl:snoRNA SNORA71 Small nucleolar RNA SNORA71
UCCUGUAUCGAAAGUGAUCAUGGAAUCCUUGUAGCCAGAUCAUUGAUAGUACAGGAAGAAAACAUGAGAGCCUUUCCCGUGUUUGGGGGACUAUUUGUGCCCAUCAAACCCUGGCGCUUUCAUACA